rfam:Firmicutes bacterium CAG:272 genomic scaffold, scf7
UCCGCCGUGAGACGGAUUCUGAAAGAAGUCGGAUGCGGAGACUUAAAAGUGUCUCUGUGGGCAAAACCUCGCAUUGCUUGCAAUGCUUCUGACUGAACAGAAACUGUAUAUAAGGCAUACUUGAAACGGACGAGUUUCCUAUUCAAAACGAAGUCCGAUACUGCCCGAAGUUCAAGGUGUAAAUGCAGCAGAUAUAUGAGGUGAAGGUGAUUACG